GACGAACGCUGGCGGCGUGCUUAACACAUGCAAGUCGAACGGAAAGGCCCUGCUUUUGUGGGGUGCUCGAGUGGCGAACGGGUGAGUAACACGUGAGUAACCUGCCCUUGACUUUGGGAUAACUUCAGGAAACUGGGGCUAAUACCGGAUAGGAGCUCCUGCUGCAUGGUGGGGGUUGGAAAGUUUCGGCGGUUGGGGAUUGACUCGCGGCUUAUCAGCUUGUUGGUGGGGUAGUGGCUUACCAAGGCUUUGACGGGUAGCCGGCCUGUGAGGGUGACCGGCCACAUUGGGACUGAGAUACGGCCCAGACUCCUACGGGAGGCAGCAGUGGGGAAUAUUGCACAAUGGGCGGAAGCCUGAUGCAGCAACGCCGCGUGCGGGAUGACGGCCUUCGGGUUGUAAACCGCUUUCGCCUGUGACGAAGCGUGAGUGACGGUAAUGGGUAAAGAAGCACCGGCUAACUACGUG
rnacentral:rRNA from 1 species